AUAUUAAGUCUUGAGGAAAGUCUGGGCUCUUUAGAAGGUAUUACAUUGCUAGAUAAAAUCUAGUGCGGGUAACUGCAAGGACAGUGCUACAGAAAUAUUACCACCAAAGAUUCAUUCUUCGGAGAGGGUGCAACGGUAAGGUAAAAGCUUACCAGAAAUAUCUUAAGAUAUUUGCUAGGCAAACCCCAAUGAAGAGCAAAGUAUAUGAGGAAUAAAACCAUGCCUUUCAAUAAUUAAUUAUUGAUUUUAUACCUGAAAAUUUUACUGCAAGAAGCUUCUCCAUAAGCUCAAGAUAAAUAAUUACCCUUUUGUCAGAAAUCACAAAAGAACUAAACCCAGCUUAUG
rnacentral:RNase_P_RNA from 1 species